rnacentral:rRNA from 1 species
UCGGGAAUUUUGGGCAAUGGGCGAAAGCCUGACCCAGCAACGCCGCGUGAAGGAUGAAGUAUUUCGGUAUGUAAACUUCGUAAGAAUAGGAAGAAUAAAUGACGGUACUAUUUGUAAGGUCCGGCUAACUACGUG